UUACCGGCUUGACAUGUCGAAAGCUUCGGACAGGUGCUGCAUGGCUGUCGUCAGCUCGUGCCGUGAGGUGUUGGGUUAAGUCCCGCAACGAGCGCAACCCUGUGUUAGUUGCCAGCAUAUGGGACUCUAACAGACUGCCUGUGAAACAGGAGGAAGGUGGGGAUGACGUCAAGUCAGUAUGGUCCUUAUGCCGGGCUGCACACGUGCUACAAUGGUGUACAGGGGCUCCGCGAGGGGAGCAAUCCUCAACACCCCCAGUUCGGAUUGUAGUCUGAAACUCGACUACAUGAAGUUGGAAUCGCUAGUAAAGGUAAUCAGCACGUACCUUGAAUACGUUCCCGGGUCUUGUACACACCGCCCGUCACAUCAUGGAAGUGAGUGACCGAA
rnacentral:rRNA from 1 species